rnacentral:lncRNA from 1 species
UUCUAUAACCACCACCACGACCUCCACAAAAUCCUCCUCUUCCUCGACCUCUAUUUGUUGAAUGAUUAUUGUCGCCUUUCACUUGAAAUGCCUUCUCUUCACUCUUUUCUGCUGAUAUAUUGAUUCUCGCCUCAUGAGAUUGAAGAGAUCCCAUCAGUUCAUCAACGGAAAGAACUGACAGAUCUUUGGACUCUUCUAUAGUAGCCACCACAUGAUCAAAUUUUGUCGUCAAGCUUCGCAAGACUUUCG